AACAGUCACGUCAGGCCCCUCCUGAGGCCGCCCUCCGGCACUUCCAGGACAGAUGAUCCUGGAGAACGCGUGCAAGCUCGGAGGACCACCACGGCCUUGCUGCUGCCCUCAGACGCUGACUCCCAGGAAUCCUGCGAAUCCCCUCCGAGGGGAGCCGCCGAAGCCCUAGGAGUCCCAGUGCCCGAGUUUUCUAGAAGCAUUGGAAAUAAGGAAACGGAAGCUGUCGAUGUCACGUGACCUGACCAGCAAUGUCACAGAGAUUCUCAGUGGUAGAGUCAAUUCAAACGGGGCCCGGCUCGUCAGCAGCAUGCAACACCCUCACAGGCACAGCCUCUGCAAGGAGAGCGCGACCCGUGUUCGGUGUCUAAAGAUGAACGUGGAGCCCUCUUUUCAAAGUAUAUAAAUGGAAGAUCUGUGACCUUUACCGAAUUGGAGAACCUGCUGAGCGUGUCUGACCUCGGGGAAAAAGCUGCAGCCCUGGGGGUGACGCAGCCCACGCGGGUGUACCUUGAGGUGAUUUCUUCACAAGCAGAUGAUGGCUGUGGGGUGUGACUCAAGAAGAUGACUUGAGGUGAACCUGUACCCCCUUGGCCGGAGAGGGAGGAGUCUCCUCCCCUUGUCCUCCACCCACCUGCCCCAGUUCACAGAUGACCCGAAUCUGGCCCUGUGAUGGAGUGACUAGAACCAUGGAUAGGAAAUAGGAAAACACAGUGAUUCACCAUGAAAGAAACAAGCUUCCUACAUCCUGCAUCUAAGAAAAAUACACCAGUGACUUCUAUCUUAAGUGGCAGAAAUGCUGCUAAGCCUCGGGAAAGGAAGGCAGCUGAGAAUGAGACGUGGCCUGUGGGGGCUGCCCCUGCGGGGUCCUGGAGGCAGCAAGGGGGCCACCCCACCCUGGCUGUUGGGCUAGUUGGCACAGAGCCUGGACGGCAAGAUGGAAGCCCAUCUCCAAGUGAGCACCCGGGCCCCUUGCAGGGCACCCUGUGUCCCCUCAGGGCGGGCGGGGGGUUACCUCCGUGAGGGACCCUGAGAGGGCCGUCUGCCCACAGCGAUCUGUGCUGUGCUGAUCGGAACCCCAGGAGUGAAGUGGAGGACAUGCCACUGCUGUACAGAGCAAAGGACGAGACCCAGAUGCGGGCAGUCACUGUUCCAGGGCCGGAGCAGCUAGCACAUGGCUGUGACAGGACAGAACCAACCCUGCU